GUGGGUAUAGCUCAGUGGUAGAGUGCAUGCCUAGCAUGCAGGAGGUCCUGGGUUCAGUCCCCAGUACCUCCA
rnacentral:tRNA from 1 species